GGAAGGAAUAUUCUAUUAUUCAUGAUGAUUCAUGACUAAUUUUACGAAACAACAACUUUUUCAAAAUCUUCAUGACUAAUCCACAGCUAAUAUAUUGCUGGUCUCUAAUCCAAUCACUAUAACAGGAACGAAGCACAGCGGCAAAAAAUUGGGGGUCUUUCACCUUGUCGCCGCAAAAUAAGACUGCAGAAAAAGGAUUCCUUCGUGUGCCGCAACAUCAGCGGUGAUUGCAACAAGAAACGCUAUUAGAGUCCUUGGCAGCGCACGAAACACUGCUGUUGCUGCUCUACCGCACCAUUGUUGCCGAUCCAUCGUCCUCUGGCCGCCGUCGAGCCUUUGCCUCAUCAUAGUUCCUGAAACCCAUACUCCCUCUUCCAAGGUGUGCGAAAUCCCUAGCAUCUGCUCCACCCUGCGCCUCUGUUUGGGUUGUCAAGUCACGCAGCUGCCAUCCGUGCUUCUCCCACUGGCGUCGAAGUUUCCUAAUUCCUCGAUCGUGCGUGACACCGUUACAUCCUCCUCCACCGUGCGCCAAUAUGAGUUAUCACGGCCUCUCCCCUGUCACUGAGAAAUUAGAGAGCCGAGACUUCUUUUUGGUUUGCAGUAGCUGCUGGUUCGUAGAGAAGACGAUAGAUGCAUCUCCAUUCUCUUUGUUGGACCACGCAACAUCCUUUGCAAGGCAGUUGUGGUUCAAAGAGUCCUGUAUACAAUCAUGGCUGGAUGCCUUCUUUGGACACAGACACCUCACUCGAGCCAUUGGUCAUGCACUUGCUUCAAUGAUGAAGUUGAUUAUGUUAAAAUUUUAGGAAUUGCUUCAAUGGGACCAAAGGUACAUCGCUAAAUUUGGAUUUGAGUUUACAAUAAAUACGGACACGUGGUUCUCACAGAAAAUACUUGAUAAGGUGAAGCAGGAUUAGAAGAGAAGGUAGUUUGGUGUCCCUGACCGACCUCAGGCCUCCUGAUCAAGUGCACAUUCCCCUUGGUUUACUAUUGAAGUCCAAUCCUUGUAAGGUAAGACGAUCGAAGGAUUCAAUCCAGCCACAGGUUCCCCUACGGCUACCUUGUUACGACUUCACCCCAGUCGAAGACCCCACCGUGCACGCUAUGAAAAUACUCUUGUCGUUGAACUGGAUAUUGCAGCACGGGAGGAAUUCAAACUCAUAGAACAUGGACUUGAUCGACUAUGGGAACGUGCCGUUUAUCUUUUAAGAUGGCUAGGAAAGGUCGUUACAUGAAAAAACCAAAAUUAGGACCAGGAUGUCAGCAACCCCAAACGGCUCCGCCUCCGGCUUCGGUUUCCCACCACGAUGACUCUCAAAUUCCCCCAGACAGUGGUGACAGUGUCCCUGCAACUUCACGCCCAUUACUUCUGCCGCUCAGUGAACCAAGGCUUGCUCCACAAUCGAGCACAAAUAGCAUUCAAAACUCGGAGCCAGGCUACGUAAACUUGGCAGCUAGUGCAAAUGAUGUAGAUUCCCUUGAUCAAGAAGUUGAUGACCCCUCUGUUGCUUCUGGAGCUUAGAGUCACAAAAGCCGCAAGACUAUAGAGUGUUUGACAAUACACAUAUAAGGUAUAAUAUUUGGCUUAUAGAUUUUGAGGGCAAAAUCAAGCCGGAAAGAUUAAGCGUGAGGGAGGCUAUGGAACGGCCUAACGGCAGAAGGAUCAUGCGCAAGUUCAACAACAAAAAGCAACCAAUUGGAGACAAAGCUGGACUUUUGAGUAGCGUGCUUGGUCUGCUAGGAUCUGACUAUGAAAAUUUUUCUAUCUGUAAGGAAAGUUGGCAUAAGAUUACCACUAAAGACAAGGUUUAUAACAAACGUGUCAAGCAAAUUUUUCACUUUGAUGAAGAUAGUAAAGGAACUAUCAAGAAAAAUAUUUUGAAAAGUAUGGGGAAGUCUUGGAAGAAAACAAGUCUGAGGUUGUAUAAUGCGUUUUACGAGCCAACAUUCACGACUGAACAAAAUAUUGAGCACCGUCCGCCGGGAAUCGAUCAAGAGCAUUGGAGAUGGUUCCUUGACUAUCGCGCUAAAAUGAGACAAAGGAGAAGUGCAGGAAAAACGCGAUUAAUCGAUCAAAACAACUAUAUACCCACACUGGCGGUUCGAAAAGCUUCGCACGGCGGAUGGAAGAAGAGUCGAAACAAUAAGUGAGGAGAGUCGGUAGAGGAGAGUUAUGGAUUACAGUGCACAAAAAAAAGGAUGGCUCCUAUAUCAAUGAUGAAGCAAGAGCAAUUAGUGUUUUUGGAAAAGAGAAACCAGGUAGAGUACGUGGUGUGGGUUUCGGACUGACUCCUAGUCAACUAUUCGGUCUGAAUUCACAUGUUCCGGGAAACGGAGUCCAAGUACAGGAGACACAGAGGAAGCUGCUUGAACUGCAGGCAGAGCUGGAAGGCAAGAAGUUGAAGAGGAAGGCGAUGGAGGAUGAGGCAGUAGUAGAGAAGAAAAAGAGGCAGAGAUGGAGAAUGCUCAGAUUUAUCUAUUUCAAUAGUAAGGUGAGGAGCUGCCACCAGAUAUCACUGCAGGGAUGAGUUCCGUGAAAUGAUAGAGUGAAAAUUAGUAUAUUAGGAUUGGAGAUAUUUUGGAUUAAAGCAAACAUUUUUUUGAAUUAGACUAUGCAACUCUUUGCAAGAGAUUUGUUUUCUUCGUAUUUUCAUGAAUAUAUUAUUUUGUUUUGCAGAUAA